UGCGAUCAUCUAGAACAACACUUAUUGUUGUGUGGUACUCACGUCCCCAGCAUCAUCCACGACUCCUUUACUGUGUUGCUAGCGUGAUGUUAGAAGUUGCACUGGACAGGGUGGCCAGGCUGGCGGCUCAGAUGAUGAAUCUCGUAACAAGAGAGUGCCAGCGACAGCGUGCCUGGGCGGUGAUGGGAGAAGCUACGGGUGCCGGGCUGCUGUGCCCUACCCGUGGAGUGGUCCUGGAGAGAGAGGAGAUCAUUGAUCUGGAUGGGGCCAUCCUCGCCCACGAUGCUGUUGCUGUGGACCCCUGCACGGGCCUCAUCAUCCCAAAACCUGGCUCCCGCAUGCGCCUGGCCAGCGGACACACCAUGCCAGUGCCCCCUGACUUCUUCCUGCACCCGCGAACGGGCCGAGUGCUGCCAGUGUCUGGCAACGUGGCCUAUGAUCCAACAAGUUCCGCCCUGGUCGUCACAGUGGAUGCCUGUGCAGGUGUACAUUUGAGAUUCGAAUCACCGCUCCUCCCCUACGUACCCUACCCCCGAUCCUGCCCCAGAGAUGGGCCUGUUGCGUGCCGACUGAGCAGGCUCCUUCCAGGACAGCGGAUGGUUCUGGGGGGGUCAACGCGUGACCCUGAAACGGGUGUACCUGUCCCUAUUCUGGCCGUGACCAUCCGCCCUGAGAGCGGAUUGGUUUACCCCCUGGGAGGUUUGCACAUCUGCCCCCUGACCCGGCUGUCCAGGCCCAUCCAGUUGGGUUCUCCCAUGCAGAACACUGACGGCGCGGGUGUGGCGCUUGUGACAGGCGUGUGUCUCAGUCCACUCACAGGUGCGGUGCUUCCAGUGGGGGGGCUGCUCCUCGGAGAGUCCUUCGUGGAGCCUCUGAGUGGGCGGGAGGCCAGGGUCUCGGGAAUUAGUGUUCGAGGGGGGAAACCGGUGCCUCACGCAGGGGGGUACCAGGCACUGCUGGAGGCUCAUGUGCUGGCGGCCCGGAUUCAAGUGGCAG
rnacentral:lncRNA from 1 species